rnacentral:rRNA from 1 species
UGGGGAAUUUUGGACAAUGGGCGAAAGCCUGAUCCAGCAAUGCCGCGUGUGUGAAGAAGGCCUUCGGGUUGUAAAGCACUUUUGUCCGGAAAGAAAUCCUUGGCUCUAAUACAGUCGGGGGAUGACGGUACCGGAAGAAUAAGCACCGGCUAACUACGUGCCAGCAGCCGCGGUAAUACGUAGGGUGCAAGCGUUAAUCGGAAUUACUGGGCGUAAAGCGUGCGCAGGCGGUUUGCUAAGACCGAUGUGAAAUCCCCGGGCUCAACCUGGGAACUGCAUUGGUGACUGGCAGGCUAGAGUAUGGCAGAGGGGGGUAGAAUUCCACGUGUAGCAGUGAAAUGCGUAGAGAUGUGGAGGAAUACCGAUGGCGAAGGCAGCCCCCUGGGCCAAUACUGACGCUCAUGCACGAAAGCGUGGGGAGCAAACAGGAUUAGAUACCCUGGUAGUCCACGCCCUAAACGAUGUCAACUAGUUGUUGGGGAUUCAUUUCCUAGUAACGUAGCUAACGCGUGAAGUUGACCGCCUGGGGAGUACGGUCGCAAGAUUAAAACUCAAAGGAAUUGACGGGG